ACACGACUACAUUAGAUACCCGUGUAGUCCAGGGUGUAAACGCUGCGGGCUUGGUGUUGGGGGUCCUUUGAGGGCGCCCAGUGCCGGAGAGAAGUUGUUAAGCCUGCUGCUUGGGGAGUACGUCCGCAAGGAUGAAACUUAAAGGAAUUGGCGGGGGAGCACCACAACGGGUGGAGCUUGCGGUUUAAUUGGAUUCAACGCCGGAAAUCUUACCGGGACCGACAGCAACAUGAAGGCCAGGCUGAAGACUUUGCCGGAUUAGCUG
rnacentral:rRNA from 1 species